GAGGUGGGCGGCGGUGCUAUACAUGCAGUUGAGCGCUGAAGGUUGGUACUUGUACCAACUGGAUGAGCAGCGAACGGGUGAGUAACGCGUGGGGAAUCUGCCUUUGAGCGGGGGACAACAUUUGGAAACGAAUGCUAAUACCGCAUAAAAACUUUAAACACAAGUUUUAAGUUUGAAAGAUGCAAUUGCAUCACUCAAAGAUGAUCCCGCGUUGUAUUAGCUAGUUGGUGAGGUAAAGGCUCACCAAGGCGAUGAUACAUAGCCGACCUGAGAGGGUGAUCGGCCACAUUGGGACUGAGACACGGCCCAAACUCCUACGGGAGGCAGCAGUAGGGAAUCUUCGGCAAUGGACGAAAGUCUGACCGAGCAACGCCGCGUGAGUGAAGAAGGUUUUCGGAUCGUAAAACUCUGUUGGUAGAGAAGAACGUUGGUGAGAGUGGAAAGCUCAUCAAGUGACGGUAACUACCCAGAAAGGGACGGCUAACUACGUGCCAGCAGCCGCGGUAAUACGUAGGUCCCGAGCGUUGUCCGGAUUUAUUGGGCGUAAAGCGAGCGCAGGUGGUUUAUUAAGUCUGGUGUAAAAGGCAGUGGCUCAACCAUUGUAUGCAUUGGAAACUGGUAGACUUGAGUGCAGGAGAGGAGAGUGGAAUUCCAUGUGUAGCGGUGAAAUGCGUAGAUAUAUGGAGGAACACCGGUGGCGAAAGCGGCUCUCUGGCCUGUAACUGACACUGAGGCUCGAAAGCGUGGGGAGCAAACAGGAUUAGAUACCCUGGUAGUCCACGCCGUAAACGAUGAGUGCUAGAUGUAGGGAGCUAUAAGUUCUCUGUAUCGCAGCUAACGCAAUAAGCACUCCGCCUGGGGAGUACGACCGCAAAGGUUGAAACUCAAAGGAAUUGACGGGGGGCCCGCACAAGCG
rnacentral:rRNA from 1 species